rnacentral:rRNA from 1 species
AUUGAACGCUGGCGGCAGGCCUAACACAUGCAAGUCGAGCGGAUGAAGGGAGCUUGCUCCAGGAUUCAGCGGCGGACGGGUGAGUAAUGCCUAGGAAUCUGCCUGGUAGUGGGGGAUAACGUCCGGAAACGGGCGCUAAUACCGCAUACGUCCUGAGGGAGAAAGUGGGGGAUCUUCGGACCUCACGCUAUCAGAUGAGCCUAGGUCGGAUUAGCUAGUUGGUGGGGUAAAGGCCUACCAAGGCGACGAUCCGUAACUGGUCUGAGAGGAUGAUCAGUCACAAUGGAACUGAGACACGGUCCAGACUCCUACGGGAGGCAGCAGUGGGGAAUAUUGGACAAUGGGCGAAAGCCUGAUCCAGCCAUGCCGCGUGUGUGAAGAAGGUCUUCGGAUUGUAAAGCACUUUAAGUUGGGAGGAAGGGCAGUAAGUUAAUACCUUGCUGUUUUGACGUUACCAACAGAAUAAGCACCGGCUAACUUCGUG